CAAAGGUGGUGUUUCAUGGACCUCUGGGAAUAACAAAAUAGUGGCAAGUGAAACAACAUGUUCACACCUGAGGAGUGGUGGGAAUAUCUAGAGACCACACUAGAGAAGAGAGAGGAUGGCAUCUGCUAGGACACUGCACUAUUCAGAGGACACUCAAGCAAUUCUGCAGAUAAAUCAGUUACUAUCGAUUUCAAAGACAAGAAUUCUGAGG
rnacentral:lncRNA from 1 species